rnacentral:rRNA from 1 species
AGAAUCAACGCUGGCGGCGUGCCUAACACAUGCAAGUCGCACGAGAAACGGACUUCGGUCUUGAGUAAAGUGGCGCACGGGUGAGUAACACGUGAAUCAUCUACCUCCGAAUGGGGAAUAACUGAGAGAAAUCUUAGCUAAUACCGCAUAAUACCUACGGGUCAAAGCAGCAAUGCGUUUGGAGAGGAGUUCGCGGUCGAUUAGUUAGUUGGCGGGGUAAUGGCCCACAAGACGAUGAUCGAUA